rnacentral:rRNA from 1 species
UACGUAGGGUGCGAGCGUUGCCCGGAUUUAUUGGGCGUAAAGGGCGCGUAGGCGGUGCCGUACGUCCGUUGUGAAAUCGCUCGGCUCAACUGGGCGGGGUCAGCGGAUACGGUGGCACUUGAGCAAGCUAGGGGGCAAUGGAAUUCCCGGUGUAGUGGUGGAAUGCGUAGAUAUCGGGGAGGAACACCAGUGGCGAAGGCGGUUGCCUGGGGCUUUGCUGACGCUGAUGCGCGAAAGCGUGGGGAGCGAUCCGG